rnacentral:rRNA from 1 species
AUUGAACGCUGGCGGCAUGCCUUACACAUGCAAGUCGAACGGCAGCACGGGAGCAAUCCUGGUGGCGAGUGGCGAACGGGUGAGUAAAGUAUCGGAACGUGCCCAGUCGUGGGGGAUAACGUAGCGAAAGUUACGCUAAUACCGCAUACGAUCUACGGAUGAAAGCGGGGGAUCGCAAGACCUCGCGCGGACGGAGCGGCCGAUGGCAGAUUAGGUAGUUGGUGGGGUAAAGGCCUACCAAGCCGACGAUCUGUAGCUGGUCUGAGAGGACGACCAGCCACACUGGGACUGAGACACGGCCCAGACUCCUACGGGAGGCAGCAGUGGGGAAUUUUGGACAAUGGGCGCAAGCCUGAUCCAGCCAUGCCGCGUGCAGGAUGAAGGCCUUCGGGUUGUAGACUGCUUUUGUACGGAACGAAAAGGUUUCUUUUAAUACAGGGAACUGAUGACGGUACCGUAAGAAUAAGCACCGGCUAACUACGUGCCAGCAGCCGCAGUAA